rnacentral:siRNA from 1 species
ACAAAAAAUUGCUUAGAAGCAGUA